rnacentral:rRNA from 1 species
AUAAGUUACUAAGGGCACACAGGGGAUGCCUUGGAUUUGAGAGGCGAAGAAAGACGUGAUAAGCUGCGAUAAGCUACGGGGAGGAGCACAUAUCUAGUGAUCCGUAGAUUUCUGAAUGGGGCAACCCGUUAUGUUGAAGACAUAACACUCGAAAGAGAGCUAACCGGGCGAACUGAAACAUCUAAGUACCCCGAGGAAGAGAAAACAAAAGUGAUUUUGGUAGUAGCGGCGAGCGAACCCGAAAUAGCCCAAACCGGUUUUGUUUCGGCAAGGCCGGGGUUGUAGGACUACAAUGUGGACUUAAACGUUAUAGAAGAACCAAGUUGGAAAGCUUGACCAUAGGGGGUGAUAGUCCCGUAUUUAAAAUGGCGUUUAUACCUAGUAGUAUCCUGAGUAGGGCGGGACAUGUGAAAUCCUGUCUGAAUCUGCCAGAACCAUCUGGUAAGGCUAAAUACUCCUCAAAUACCGAUAGUGAACUAGUACUGUGAAGGAAAGGUGAAAAGAACCUUGAAUAAAGGAGUGAAAUAGAACCUGAAACUGUGUGCCUACAAGCGGUCGGAGCCUACGGGUGACGGCGUGCCUUUUGCAUAAUGAUCCUACGAGUUACCGUCACUGGCAAGGUUAAGGGCUUCAGGUCCGGAGCCGAAGCGAAAGCGAGUCUGAAUAGGGCGUAUAGUCAGUGGUGGUAGACGCGAAACCUUGUGAUCUACCCAUGGCCAGGUUGAAGUUUUGGUAACACAAAAUGGAGGACCGAACCAGUAAACGUUGAAAAGUUUUUGGAUGAGCUGUGGGUAGGGGUGAAAGGCCAAUCAAACUGGGAAAUAGCUCGUACUCCCCGAAAUGCAUUUAGGUGCAGCGUCGAGGUUAAGUUUUAUAGAGGUAGAGCUACUGAUUGGGUAAGGGGGCUUCAUCGCCUACCAAACCCAGACAAACUCCGAAUGCUAUAAAAUAUACUCGGCAGUGAGGGCAUGGGUGCUAAGGUCCAUGUCCGAAAGGGAAAGAACCCAGACCAUCGGCUAAGGUCCCAAAAUAUAUGCUAAGUUGGUAUAACGUGGUUUGAUUGCAUAGACAGCUAGGAUGUUGGCUUGGAAGCAGCCAUUCAUUUAAAGAGUGCGUAACAGCUCACUAGUCGAGCGAUCGGGCAUGGAUAAUAAUCGGGCAUUAAGCAUAUUACCGAAGCUGUGGUUUUCUUGUUUUAUGACGAGAAGAGGUAGGGGAGCAUUCCAGUUAGCGCAGAAGGUGCAUCGUAAGGUGUGCUGGAGCAUCUGGAAAAGCAAAUGUAGGCAUAAGUAACGAUAAUGCGGGCGAGAAACCCGCACACCGGAAGACUAAGGUUUCCUGAUCAACGUUAAUCGGAUCAGGGUUAGUCGGGGCCUAAGGCGACCCUGCUGUAGUGGCAGGUUAGUCGAUGGACAACUGGUUAAUAUUCCAGUACUGACCGGUAUUGCGAUGGAGAGACGGAGUAGUGGCAGCACCGCCCACUGACGGAAUAGUGGGUUGAAGGGGUGUAGGUAAAUUAUAGGCAGGCAAAUCCGCUUAUGAUGCUGAACCCUGAUAGUACCGGGAGUUUUCGGACGAACGGAUAGUGUGUGUAAUCAGACUUCCAAGAAAAUCUUCUAAGCAUCAGAUACCGGCCACCCGUACCGUAAACCGACACAGGUAGUCGAGGAGAGAAUCCAAAGGUGCUCGAGUGAUCCAUGGCUAAGGAACUAGGCAAACUAACCCUGUAACUUCGGGAGAAAGGGUCCCUGCAUUGCAAGUGCGGGGCGCAGAGAAAUGGCCCAGGCGACUGUUUAUCAAAAACACAUGGCUUUGCAAAAUCGUAAGAUGACGUAUAAGGCCUGACACCUGCCCGGUGCUGGAAGGUUAAAAGGAGAUGUUAGUCUUAAGGGCGAAGCAUUGAAUUGAAGCCCCAGUAAACGGCGGCCGUAACUAUAACGGUCCUAAGGUAGCGAAAUUCCUUGUCGGGUAAGUUCCGACCUGCACGAAUGGUGUAACGAUCUGGGCACUGUCUCAGCCAUGGGCUCGGUGAAAUUGUAGUAUCGGUGAAGAUGCCGAUUACCCGCAACGGGACGGAAAGACCCCGUGAACCUUUACUAUAGCUUCACAUUGACAUUGGACACUUUAUGUGUAGGAUAGGUGGGAGACUUUGAGGCUGCGUCGCUAGGCGUAGAUUAGUCGUUGUUGAAAUACCACCCUUAAAUUGUCUGAUGUCUAACCCCUUAAUCGGGAGACAGUGUGUGGUGGGUAGUUUGACUGGGGUGGUCGCCUCCAAAAGAGUAACGGAGGCUCCUAAAGGUACCCUCAGCACGCUUGGUAACCGUGCGUAGAGUGUAAUGGCAUAAGGGUGCUUGACUGAGAGACCGACAAGUCGACCAGGUAGGAAACUAGAGCAUAGUGAUCCGGUGGUUCCGCAUGGAAGGGCCAUCGCUCAAAGGAUAAAAGGUACGCCGGGGAUAACAGGCUGAUCACUCCCAAGAGCUCAUAUCGACGGAGUGGUUUGGCACCUCGAUGUCGGCUCGUCACAUCCUGGGGCUGGAGAAGGUCCCAAGGGUUGGGCUGUUCGCCCAUUAAAGUGGCACGCGAGCUGGGUUCAGAACGUCGUGAGACAGUUCGGUCCCUAUCUGUUGUGGGCGUUAGAUUUUUGAGAGGACCUUCCUCUAGUACGAGAGGACCGGGGAGGACAUACCUCUGGUGUACCUGUUGUGGCGCCAGCUGCAUUGCAGGGUAGCUAAGUAUGGAUGAGAUAAGCGCUGAAAGCAUCUAAGCACGAAACUCACCUCAAGAUGAGAAAUCUUUUAAGGGCCGUGGAAGACUACCACGUUGAUAGGCUACAGGUGUAAAGAUGGUAACAUCAAAGCCGAGUAGUACUAAUUACCCGUAAACUUAUAGUAU